rnacentral:lncRNA from 1 species
AUGAACCGACCAAAUAGGAACUCAGCAGACAGGAUGUCCCCCACUCCUCAAUCCCAAUUGGAGUUCCGCCAACAGUGUUGGAUGUCGUCCCCCGCCGAGAAGAAAAGGGUUGCCCUGCCAUACUCGCCUGAGAACGAGUGGGUUCUCUACAAUUAUGCCCGGCUGUGGGAGAAGUUCUCCCAGGAGGCGCCGCAGGGUACCCCCCAGAGGUCCCCACCUACCCAGCUGCCGGCGAUCCCGGAGGGUCGUGUCCUGGCCGUGGCAACCCUGGGGGAUCAGUUACGUCCCUCCCAAGAUCCUGAGGUACCUCCCACUACCUUAAGUCUCCCCAACAAGCGAGGGAGACGGCUUUCAUGGGAGUCAGCUUCAGAGUCUUCGGCGUCCGAGGCUGCCCUGCCCGAGACCAAACUCCCCCAACCCGCCUCUGACCCAGCUGUAGCCUCUGCACCGCGCCCGAGGAGGAAGAGGAGGAAGAAGGGGCCUGCCGGUCCUGUGACCCUGUCUCCUCCCGUGCCAGCAGCGGAGAGAGCUGGCGUGCCCGAGCCAGCAGCGGAGAGAGCUGGCGUGCCCGAGCCAGCAGCGGAGAGAGCUGGCGUGCCCGAGCCAGCAGCGGAGAGAGCUGGCGUGCCCGAGCCAGCAGCGGAGAGAGCUGGCGUGCCCGAGCCAGCAGCGGAGAGAGCUGGCGUGCCCGAGCCAGCAGCGGAGAGAGCUGGCGUGCCCGAGCCAGCAGCGGUGAGCGUGCCCGAGCCAGCAGCGGUGAGCGUGCCCGAGCCAGCAGCGGUGAGCGCUUGCGUGCCCGUGCCAGCAGCGGUGAGCGCUGGCGUGCCCGUGCCAGCAGCGGAGAGCGUGCCCGAGCCAGCAGCGGAGAGCGUGCCCGAGCCAGCAGCGGAGAGCGUGCCCGAGCCAGCAGCGGUGACUGUGCCCGAGCCAGCAGCGGUGAGCGCUGGCGUGCCCGGGCCGGCAAGGAUGAGAACUGUCACUAAGUCAGCAGUCACGAGGGCGGAGGAGAGAGCCGCGGCCGACUCUGCAGCCAAGGCUUUACUACAAUCGGUCUCAUCUCGCAAGGAGAUGCCCAUUGUAAUAGCUGUAAAGUCUUUUUCUGAUUAUUUGUCCCGUCUUGUUCAGAUUUUAGAAGUCCCCGUCAGUCCUGUCUCGUCCCCGGACCCUGUCCCCAGAAAUCCCGAGUGUCCUGUCGUUGCCUCCCCGUGUCCCGUAGAUGUCGUCUCCCCGUGUCCCGUAGAUGUCGUCUCCCCGUGUCCCGUAGAUGUCGUCCCCCCGUGUCCAGUAGAUGUUGUCCCCCCGUGUCCAGUAGAUGUUGUCCCCCCGUGUCCAGUAGAUGUUGUCCCCCCGCGUCCCGUGUCUGCUCCUGUCAUGUCCCCUGUCAGUUGUCCCGAGACCCCUCCCCGUCCCUCACCACCCAGACCUGCCCGUACCCCCCGUCGUCAGCCUUCGUCCUGUCCUCCUAAGAUUCCUACCCCACCCACCCACCCUGGUCUGUCCCCCAUGAACUUUGUGGUCCCGCCCCCUCCCCUUCCCUGUUUGUUUUUUUUGAUUUGUCACCCUAACCCCGUCAUUGUCUAUUCAUGUUUGCCUUUGUUAUUAUUUGUCAUGUCUUGUUGGUUUUUGUCUCUGUCCCAGUCAGUCUUGUCCCGCGUUUGA